GACGAACCGUGCGAACGUUGUUCGGAAUCACUGGGCUUAAAGGGCGCGUAGGCGGCUCCGCAAGUCGGGGGUGAAAUCUUUCGGCUUAACCGGAAAAGUGCCUCUGAUACUGCGGAGCUCGAGGGAGGUAGGGGCGGACGGAACUUCCGGUGGAGCGGUGAAAUGCGUUGAUAUCGGAAGGAACGCCGGUGGCGAAAGCGGUCCGCUGGCCCUCUACUGACGCUGAGGCGCGAAAGCCAGGGGAGCAAAGCGGGG
rnacentral:rRNA from 1 species